ensembl:lncRNA
CGUUUUCUCAAGCUGCCUGCGCCUGCAUCGUUGGCUCAUGAUGCGUUAGCGAGGAGACCUCAGAUCAGACUGCAGCCGAGAGCAGGCGAGCAAACACAGCCGACAUGCAACAACCACCACGACAUUUGCAACGGGGGUAAAAACGCGUUGCGAAUGUCGACCUUGUGCGCGGGAAUGGGGGACGCGUUGGUUUUGGGAUGAGCCUCGAGGUGCUCCGUAUUGAAAUUGACCUGAUCCUGUUGGAGCAAUUGACACAUUGAAUAGAGACGAAGCAACGGCGAUAUUAUUAUUUUUUUGCUUAAAUAGCGCAGCAUGCUCUCCGAUACGCGCGUCUGUUCACG